GUGCUCACUUCGUCCACACAUGUAUUAAAAUUGGAAAAAUACAGAGAAGGUUAGCAUGGCCCCGGUGCAAGGAUGACACACAAAUUCCUGAAAUGUUCCAUAUUUUU
rnacentral:snRNA from 1 species